rnacentral:rRNA from 1 species
GUUGAUGCCAUGCUUCCAAGAAAAGCUUCUAAGCUUCAGGUAACCAGGAACCGUACCCCAAACCGACACAGGUGGUCGGGUAGAGAAUACCAAGGCGCUUGAGAGAACUCGGGUGAAGGAACUAGGCAAAAUGGCACCGUAACUUCGGGAGAAGGUGCGCCGGCUAGGGUGAAGGAUUUACUCCGUAAGCUCUGGCUGGUCGAAGAUACCAGGCCGCUGCGACUGUUUAUUAAAAACACAGCACUCUGCAAACACGAAAGUGGACGUAUAGGGUGUGACGCCUGCCCGGUGCCGGAAGGUUAAUUGAUGGGGUUAGCGCAAGCGAAGCUCUUGAUCGAAGCCCCGGUAAACGGCGGCCGUAACUAUAACGGUCCUAAGGUAGCGAAAUUCCUUGUCGGGUAAGUUCCGACCUGCACGAAUGGCGUAACGAUGGCGGCGCUGUCUCCACCCGAGACUCAGUGAAAUUGAAAUCGCUGUGAAGAUGCAGUGUAUCCGCGGCUAGACGGAAAGACCCCGUGAACCUUUACUGUAGCUUUGCACUGGACUUUGAGCCUGCUUGUGUAGGAUAGGUGGGAGGCUUUGAAGCGUGGACGCCAGUUCGCGUGGAGCCAUCCUUGAAAUACCACCCUGGCAUGCUUGAGGUUCUAACUCUGGUCCGUGAUCCGGAUCGAGGACAGUGUAUGGUGGGCAGUUUGACUGGGGCGGUCUCCUCCUAAAGAGUAACGGAGGAGUACGAAGGUGCGCUCAGACCGGUCGGAAAUCGGUCGCAGAGUAUAAAGGCAAAAGCGCGCUUGACUGCGAGACAGACACGUCGAGCAGGUACGAAAGUAGGUCUUAGUGAUCCGGUGGUUCUGUAUGGAAGGGCCAUCGCUCAACGGAUAAAAGGUACUCCGGGGAUAACAGGCUGAUACCGCCCAAGAGUUCAUAUCGACGGCGGUGUUUGGCACCUCGAUGUCGGCUCAUCACAUCCUGGGGCUGAAGCCGGUCCCAAGGGUAUGGCUGUUCGCCAUUUAAAGUGGUACGCGAGCUGGGUUUAGAACGUCGUGAGACAGUUCGGUCCCUAUCUGCCGUGGACGUUUGAGAUUUGAGAGGGGCUGCUCCUAGUACGAGAGGACCGGAGUGGACGAACCUCUGGUGUUCCGGUUGUCACGCCAGUGGCAUUGCCGGGUAGCUAUGUUCGGAAAAGAUAACCGCUGAAAGCAUCUAAGCGGGAAACUUGCCUCAAGAUGAGAUCUCACUGGGAACUUGAUUCCCCUGAAGGGCCGUCGAAGACUACGACGUUGAUAGGCUGGGUGUGUAAGCGUUGUGAGGCGUUGAGCUAACCAGUACUAAUUGCCCGUGAGGCUUGACCAU